rnacentral:tRNA from 1 species
GUUCAGAUAUAGCUCAGUGGUCAGAGUGUUGGACUCGUAAUUUGAAGGCCCGAUUUCGAAUCCUGUACUUUUAACU